rnacentral:rRNA from 1 species
UACAGAGGGUGCAAGCGUUAAUCGGAAUUACUGGGCGUAAAGCGUGCGUAGACGGUUCUGUAGGUCGGGUGUGAAAGCCCCGGGCUCAACCUGGGAAUUGCAUUCGAGACUGCAUAGCUAGGGUGCGGAAGAGGGAAGCGGAAUUUCCGGUGUAGCGGUGAAAUGCGUAGAUAUCGGAAGGAACACCAGUGGCGAAAGCGGCUUCCUGGUCCAGCACCGACGUUCAGGCACGAAAGCGUGGGGAGCAAACAGG